rnacentral:lncRNA from 1 species
AAUCAGGACUGUAUUUGAAGAGCUCAAGAAAUGGAGAGUAUUUCUUUUUUCCAUUCAGGUGUUUAGGGAUAUGUUUGUUGAAGAGUUGGGUGGGCCUAGCAAGAUGGCAGCGCAUGUGCAAUAAGUAUUCCCGUGAAGUACCACUGCUAAGGUAAUGUCGUUUCUAUCAGAUUUGUAAGUUACUCUGUUUUCCAUAUAACUAUAUUUUUUUCAUUUGAA